CCCAUGUGUUGUGGGAGAUAAUUGAAUCACGGGGGCAGUUUCCCCCGAUCUGUUCUUGUGGUAGUGAAUAAGUCUCACAGGAUCUGAUGAUUUCAUAAGGGGUUUCCCCUUUCACUUGGCUCUCAUGCUCUCUUGUCUGCUACCACCUAAGACGUGCCUUUCGCCUUCCACCAUGAUUGUGAGGCCUCCCCAGUCACGUGGAACUGACUUACUUGGUUUGUGUUUGGGCAUCCAACACAUCGUCUUACCACUGCAGUCCAUGAAAAGUGCACUGACAAGAACAUUGGGAUCUCCAGGUAGUUGUUUCUACCCAGGAAGAGACGAGGGAAGACCACCAAAGCAGUGUGGUAGCCGGGAAAUUACAGAUAAGGAUCAUGGCCCUGUUCAGUUUCUUCAUCCACCACCCAUGAAGAGGCAUCGCCUAAGAAGCUGUGAUUCUGUUUCACCCAUGUGAACAAGGCAAUCCUCAGGAGGUCCAAAAGCAGCUAGAAGAACAUAGACCCCUGGAGAACUUUGUGGAGAAGGGCUUCUAGAAGUCUCUGGUUUGCCCUUCAACAGCACAUUUAUAUGACAAAGAAAAUUUUCUAUCUUGCUUAAUCAUUGUUACUUGGUCUUUAUGGUACUAAUCAAAUAAACAUCCUAACUGAAAAAAAUCAGAGUAGAAUUAAGGACUGAUAACUAAAGGGGGGCCAAAGUUUACACACACCUACCUAGAUUAUUCCGAGAGUCUUUUGACUGAUUUUACUGUUUUUGGUCUUGUCCCUGUUCAAUGCAUUCUCCAUAUUAUAACUAUAAUCUAAGACAUAAUCUGGUUAUACUACCUGCCUAUUAAGAAACCACUGCCUAGAGUUGAGUUGUAUUGUCUAAUAAAGUAGCCACUAAAAUUCAGUAAAAAUUCAUUAGUACUAGCCACAUUUCAAGUGGUUUUUUUUUUUUUUUUUGAGGCAGGGUCUAUUUCUGUCUCCCAGACUGGAGUGCAGUGGCGCAAAUACAGCUUACUGAUGCCUCGACCUCCCAGGCUCAAGCGAUCCUCCCACCUCAGCCUCCCAAGUAGCUGGGACUACAGGGGCAUGCCA
rnacentral:lncRNA from 1 species